rnacentral:lncRNA from 1 species
CUUUCUUGGUGCGCAUGGAUUUUACUGAACCAUUGCAAAUAAAAUAUAUUUACACCUAUAGUUCUUGAACAGAUCUGCUUCAGACUUUGUUUUUAAGCUGUAUCCUUCCACUCUAAAGUAAUGCAAUUCUUUCUCUUUCUAGCGCCAAGGUCACAGUCGAAAGAUGUCUCCGAUGAAGAUUUGGCUGUGCAAAUGAGCAAGCUGCUUGUGAAGAAAGUUCUACCUGAAACAGAAGCCCAUGUAUAA